AUUAUGGUGUAAUUUCAGUGGGAUGAAUGCACCAACUGUCUGGUUAUUUCUGCUUUUCUGUAUUAAUGCUUUUAAGAAGUGUGUUCUGCUUAGGUUGUCUACAACUUGGUACUCUGUCUUUGCAUUUGUUUUUGAUAGGUGUUAGGAUUCCCAUAUAGUUGCAAAUAAAAUCUGUCAGAAUAUUUGCCUGUAUCUGAGGACUGUGUUGCUGCUGACUGACUUCUCUAGUGCUCUACCUGCAGUUGAGUGUGCAGGGGAAGAGUUCCAAGUAUUACACUGUUGUGAAUGCUUGCUGGGAGCCCCAGGCAGCUGCCUUAGCCUUGCUUGAGGCCCCUGUGGCACGGUGGAUGUGAGGGCAGAGCCAAGGACUUGGCUUCCUCUUUUCCUCUUUCCUCAGUUCCAUUGAGACUGACUCUAUCACUUUUCAGAUUCCUUUGGGGUUUAAAAGGAGAUGGAAUUCUAGCUUGUGGUUUAAUGGUCAUCUAGCCUGACUGAGAGAACAGUUAUCCCAGGCAAAAAGGCAGAUAGGAGGUGCCCUAAGUGUGGGCAUGGCUUAGGGAGUGGUGAGGGCUAGCCAACACUCCACUUUUAUCCAGUUAGUCAUUUUUACAUGAUCCUCUGUCAUUUUUUUCCAAAAAUAUCCUGUUGCCAAUCUUUUGCUGAAGACUGUUUCCCUUUGAAAACAUAAAAUAACAGAUUGUUCUGUGCACUUAGCUGCUGUUGCUACAUGAGGGGAUGCUCCUCUCAUGCUCAGUGAGUGAGUUGCACACAUCAGGCCUCUGGUAGAUGGGCCAUAAUAUUCUGAGCUCAUUGCCAAGUUGUGAUUAAAGGUUUUACAUUGUCAAGAGAAGGUAUGUUUUUCUUAAGGACUCUGAUAUGUUUAUAGGAGAUAGUUCAGAAAAUGGUGGUUGAAAACAAAGGGUUUGCUAACACAAAGACCCAGGUUGAUGUUCCUUCUCCGGUACAGAAAUGGUGACUAUGAAUAACUGCUUUCAAGGACUGAGUUCAAAAUCUCAACCUUCCCUGGCACCUUACAGAAGUACAGAGCUAACAGUGUAAUGAAGAAUAAUAAGUCCAUGGAAAGAGGUGUAUUAUACUGGUUGAAAUAAAAAUAAAAAUUUGGUGAGUAUGAGACUGAAUGACUAGUGUUAAGAAGUAGCUUCAAUACAUAGUUAAAAACUACUUACAUUUUCUUUAAAAAAAAAUCUUAGUUUAGCCAUAUUAUGUUAUAUUGCCAAAUAUCUUGAACCCUAAUUGUUUGUUAUACCCUAAAGAUUGGAAAAAUUAUGCAAAAAGUAACUGUAAUUCCAGCUUCUGUUAUUUUUAGAACUAGCCUUUCCCUGGUGAUGAACAUAUUAUUACUAUUUUGCUAAACAGACAUAGAUUUGAGCUUCCCUCUAAAUAUCUCUAUGCCCAUAGAUUACCACAGCUCUAUACCUUAUCAAAUAAGGUGAUUAACACAGAUGUUCACAGCCAAUCAGAGUGCAAAACAUCAGUAUCUGUAGUGUGCUUGGCUCCAGAUGGGACAUCUAUCUUACCACCUACCCCAGGCUCAGAGGCUGUCUCAGAAGACAGAGAGGAAAGACUGCAGGAGUCAGGCAGAGGCCAGGAAGAACUGGAUGGCACUGCACUGAGGAGCUCAGCAGCUGUGGCUGAACCAGACCCACACAAGGUUAAGCAGGUCAGCAUCCAGCAGGAAAUGGGCAAGGGCUCAGGAGACUCCAGUCCUAACUGUGUUCAUGGCUUCUGGGGAAGAAAGAAUCAGUAGUCUCUUGGUGGAUAGGCUAUACUCCGUUGGAUGACCACACACACAGGAGUAUAUGGGUAGUGCAUUGGACUGGUGUGUUAUUUUUUUUUUUAAUUUAAAAAACAACACACUGUUGGGAGGGGAUGGAGUUGUGGUAGAUCUGGGAGGAGUUAGGGAUAAAUAUGACCAAAGUACAUUGUAUGAUGUUCUCAAAGCAAAUAAAAAUAUUGUUUGAAAAUUG
rnacentral:lncRNA from 1 species